AUUAGUGGCGAACGGGUGAGUAACACGUGAGUAACCUGCCCUUGACUCUGGGAUAAGCACUGGAAACGGUGUCUAAUACCGGAUACGAACUUCAGCCGCAUGGCUAGGAGUUGGAAAGAAUUUCGGUCAAGGAUGGACUCGCGGCCUAUCAGCUAGUUGGUGAGGUAAUGGCCCACCAAGGCGACGACGGGUAGCCGGCCUGAGAGGGUGACCGGCCACACUGGGACUGAGACACGGCCCAGACUCCUACGGGAGGCAGCAGUGGGGAAUAUUGCACAAUGGGCGAAAGCCUGAUGCAGCGACGCCGCGUGAGGGAUGACGGCCUUCGGGUUGUAAACCUCUUUCAGCAGGGACGAAGCGAGAGUGACGGUACCUGCAGAAGAAGCACCGGCCAACUACGUGCCAGCAGCCGCGGUAAUACGUAGGGUGCGAGCGUUGUCCGGAAUUACUGGGCGUAAAGAGCUCGUAGGCGG
rnacentral:rRNA from 1 species